rnacentral:rRNA from 1 species
AUUGUACGCUGGCGGCAGGCCUAACACAUGCAAGUCGAGCGGAUGAAGGGAGCUUGCUCCUGGAUUCAGCGGCGGACGGGUGAGUAAUGCCUAGGAAUCUGCCUGGUAGUGGGGGAUAACGUCCGGAAACGGGCGCUAGUACCGCAUACGUCCUGAGGGAGAAAGUGGGGGAUCUUCGGACCUCACGCUAUCAGAUGAGCCUAGGUCGGAUUAGCUAGUUGGUGGGGUAAAGGCCUACCAAGGCGACGAUCCGUAACUGGUCUGAGAGGAUGAUCAGUCACACUGGAACUGAGACACGGUCCAGACUCCUACGGGAGGCAGCAGUGGGGAAUAUUGGACAAUGGGCGAAAGCCUGAUCCAGCCAUGCCGCGUGUGUGAAGAAGGUCUUCGGAUUGUAAAGCACUUUAAGUUGGGAGGAAGGGCAGUAAGUUAAUACCUUGCUGUUUUGACGUUACCAACAGAAUAAGCACCGGCUAACUUCGUG